GCAACAUAACUACUACCAUAAUAAGUACAUUGACAGUAGUAAGUGGCAGCAUCGGCACACUCCAGGUCGCUGAUGGUGAGAGUGAACUGUGUCCCAGAUCCACUGCCUUUGAACCGCGAUGAGACCCCAGAUGCCAGAGUGGAUGCAGAAUAGAUCAGGAGCUUGGGAGGCUGCCCUGGUUUCUGCUGAUACCAGGCUAAUCUACUACUAAUGCUCUCACUGGCCUGGCACUUGAUGGUGACUGUGCCUCCCACAGCUGCCUCCACGGAGGCUGGAGUCUGGGUCAUCACAACAUCACAUCUGGCACCUG